rnacentral:rRNA from 1 species
UACGUAGGGUGCGAGCGUUAAUCGGAAUUACUGGGCGUAAGCGUGCGCAGGCGGUCUUAUAAGACAGAGGUGGAAUCCCCGGGCUCAACCUGGAGCGGCCUUUGUGACUGCAAGACUAGAGUACGGCAGAGGGGGAUGGAAUUCCGCGUGUAGCAGUGAAAUGCGUGGAUACGCGGAGGAAUACCAGUGGCGAAGGCGAUCCCCUGGGCCUGUACUGACGCUCAUGCACGAAAGCGUGGGGAGCAAACAGG